rnacentral:lncRNA from 1 species
AGCUGGAGAGUGAGAGUGAUGCCUAGGUAUCAGUAUUGCACUGAUAUUGUUGGGGACGAAGGGAUUUGAGCAUCUGAAGUCCAGCAAGUAUGUUAUGAGGCCAUCCCAGUAGCAGAAGGCACAGUUAAGACUGUGCUCCUGGAAACUGGGCUGUGGCUUCUAGAUAUUGUGCCCAGUUUCUUGAUUCCAGCAUGUAGGUAGGUGCAUCUGUAGAAGUACCCGUUGUCCUAAACAGCAGAGAACUGUCUUGCUAUGAUGUUCCAUCUCAGGCUGCAUUGAAUUUCCAGGCAAGAGAGUCAGAAAAUCCUCUGGAUCUAAAGCAGGGGAGCUCCUGUAGAUUGGGGUAAUGUGAGUAUCUUCCCAAAGAGCCUGUUGUAGGUUGGUGUAGUUGCUAAGGGAGGAGCUAGGUUCGAGGUUUCCUUUGACUCUCUGCUUGUCCAUUCUAUUCAUGUGGGAUUUAUCAGCAUAGCUAUAAGACUUCUGCUUGUCCUCUGGUUCCCUCCAGAGCCAACUUUCCAGGCAGGAAUAAGGUAGAAGGUACAAACUUGGACCAGUGGAGUCAGUUUUGUUUUCCAUCAUUUUCUGUUGACAUCUGUCAUGAGUAGGCCAUGGCAGAAAUAUAAAUGACCACAUUUGUGUCUUUCAACUAUGUCAAAAUUUACUGAAUGACCAAUAAAUUCACAAACUGCG